GGAGGGGUGGCCGAGUGGUUAAUGGCAGCAGACUGUAAAUCUGCCGACGGAUGUCUACGUAGGUUCGAAUCCUACCCCCUCCACCA
rnacentral:tRNA from 3 species